rnacentral:rRNA from 1 species
CCUACGGGGUGCAGCAGUGGGGAAUCUUGCACAAUGGGGGAAACCCUGAUGCAGCGACGCCGCGUGAGUGAAGAAGUAUUUCGGUAUGUAAAGCUCUAUCAGCAGGGAAGAAAAUGACGGUACCUGAUUAAGAAGCCCCGGCUAACUACGUGCCAGCAGCCGCGGUAAUACGUAGGGGGCAAGCGUUAUCCGGAUUUACUGGGUGGAAAGGGAGGUGAGACGGCAGCACAAGUCUGGAGUGAAAUGCCGGGGCUUAACCCCGGAACUGCUUGGGAAACUGUGCAGCUAGAGUGCAGGAGAGGUAAGUGGAAUUCCUAGUGUAGCGGUGAAAUGCGUAGAUAUUAGGAGGAACACCAGUGGCGAAGGCGGCUUACUGGACUGUAACUGACGUUGAGGCUCGAAAGCGUGGGGAGCAAACAGGAUUAGAUACCCUAGUAGUC